rnacentral:lncRNA from 1 species
CUUGCAGUGAUACAAAAAAUAAAAUUAUUUUCUGUUAUGGCACUCAAGUUUACAGAGAACAGAAGAAAAGUAAAUGUGCUAAACGUUAUUCAAGAUCUCCAAGAAAAUUUGUACGGCUGAACCAUAAACAAAGAAUACUAACAAGCUAAUGUAGUGGCUCAGUGCUAAAGAAUCUACUUGGCAAUACAGGAGACACUAGAGAAGACGGUUUGAUACCUGAGUUGGGAAGAUCCCCAGAGUAGGAAAUGGCAACCCACUCUAGUAUUCUUGCCUGGGAAAUUACAUGGACUGAGGAGACUGGGAGGCUACAGUCCAUGGUGUUCCAAAGAGUUGGACACGACUUAGAGACUCAACAACAAUCCGUUAUGGACUUAAAAAAAAAAAAAAAACACACACAAGAUAAUAGAGCUCAUGAUGUCACUGAGACAUCAUUGUUUGGUGUUCUCCAGACUUUCAUCUGUUAAGGCAAGUUACUUUCUAUGGAUCAUAGCUUGGGGCUGAAGAGCAAGCAUGUACGCUUCUAACUCUGCUGCAAAGUAAGGGCCUCCACUUUUUUUUAACAUUGCUCUCCUGGUUGAUGAUGCUACAAAGUCACAUUGUAGCAGUGAAAAAUGCUGGCAUGAAGGACUACAAGCUGAAAUUCUUGAGAGAAGGACCGUCUGUGUGUUUGUGUGUGGGAGGGUCUGUAGCCAUCCACUGGAAGUUACAGAUGGUUCCUAAUGCUACCAGCACCUUUAUCUUCAGUCAUGUUAAGUAUCAUUUUGUUAACAUUAUUCCUUUUAUGAUUUUGACAUCCUUGAGAUGGGAAAUUAGU